ACGCCCCCUUAGCUCAGUCGGUAGAGCGUUUCCAUGGUAAGGAAAAGGUCAACGGUUCGAUUCCGUUAGGGGGC
rnacentral:tRNA from 1 species